GGAGUCUCCUAGGGCGGCGCACAAUUGGCCCAGUGUCGUUAGGGUUUGGCUCGGGUAGGCCGUCAUUGUAAAUAAGAAUUUGUUCUUGACUGAGUUGCCAACUCUCUAGUUUGACCACCAGGGGGCAUCUUUGAGAAGCAUUUGAUAGAAUUCCUUAUUGGCAUUACCAGAGAAUUUAAAAUAUUUUUUGUAAUAACAUAGUAUAUUGGAUUGAUUUUAAGACAUUUAGCUAAAUGAAUUUGAUUAAUAUUAUGGUGUUUCCAGUCAGAGAAAAAUUGUCAGUUUGUAAAUUCAGACCGUUUAGCUCUCGGAGCGCACACUGGACGUUCGGACCGAGGAGUAGGGUUGAUUUGAGCGUUUUGGCCUUACAACGGCAGUCAAGCACCCAAGCUAGCGUUGGCUAGCUACUCCCAGACACAAUUGAGACCACUCUGACCAUUUUACUCGCCCUAGUAGAGCUGGUAAGGAAGUUUUCGUGUUAACCAGAGCGUUGGUGACUGUAAAUGUGCUGCUGGAAACAAUUUAAUUACGCUCUUUUCCUGAUGUUUACUGACACCGGCCAACGGGCCCUACUCAGAGGAGAGUGCUCUGUAAUCCCUGUAGAUAGUAGGCUGGACACAUUCAAUUUUUGACAAUGUUCUUUUCUGAUAAAAACGCGUUCAUUGCAUCCGCCGUGGAGCCCAGUUUCAUAAUAUGACCAUAUUUUCCAGCUGCUUGCCGUCGUUUUGAAGUAAUCGUGAAAAAAACAUGCCUUAUUUUAGUGCAUUUUUACCCUGUCAGCUCCUAUUAGUUCUAUUGAGCACCGUGGCACCAACUCGCCUUCCGAACGUUCUAUUCCCAGUUUAUUGUUCAACGUCACAAUGCCUGUUUCGCUAUUGUUGACAAUGAGACCUGCUCACGUUGUUUUAUAGUUAAAAUGUAACAAACAAAAAUAAUAUUGGAACUCUACGGCCUUCCCGUUGUUUCCUAUGGGGGAAAUAUAGGCAUGUCUGCCUAUUUUGUCAAAUAUCUCGCAAUGUGUAUAUUUAGAUUUUUUAAAGUCGGGUGUAACCGGUGUGAAAUGGCUAGCUAGCGACACAAAGGAAGUCAAAGCGGACACCUACAAAGAUGGCAUCUCAGAGAGCGAGCUGAUCAAGGGGUUGAAAAUGUAGACAUUGCCAAAUGUUCACUGUCCGAGGAACAGGCCGUGGAAGCUUUAUUGCUGGCAAAAGUGUCCAUUACCAAAGGUAAGUAAACUGUUGUGUGUUAUUUUUCUCCAUCUCUGCCUGUCUUGUUGUACCUGUCUCACAUGCAUUAAUUAAAAACCCUUAAGAUGUCAGCUGCUAAUUUUCAGAUUUUACACCACAUGAACACAGCCAUUUUCACUGGACGAUCUGUUGCUGCCAAGUCAUGAUUUCCGUGGGGGUUAGCCUUGCAAUAACCAAGUGGUGAGACACAUAGCCCUCUAUAUUUAAAUGUUUCAGGUAGGUGUCUCCAUCACAUACAGUAUCUUCUAUUGACAUGACCUUUUAUUGUUUGUCCUCAUGUGUCUGUUUUUCAGCAUAAAGUACUCUGUAGCCACCAAGUGCGGACACCAGGUGAGACCACACACACACAAUAACAGUCUCUCUUCUUCACUUUAUCCCUCUCCCCCUUCUCCCUAAAUCCUCUAGGUUAUAUCAGCUGUUUUGGUGAACCCCUCCCGCAUCUGAACUGGCUGACACAGAGGGCACAGCAUGAUCAUAGGUAUGUUUUGAUGUGAGAGAGGAAGCCAGUCCCAUCAACGCCACCUCACCCGCUCUUAAGAUAACCUUCGGGCCAACUGGGGGCCCAAGGCUUGUUAGGAGACACCGCAAUUGUGAUGAGCUGGGAGAAUAUUGGGGUAGCACUGUAAUUCAUGAAUCAAAUGCUGUCUGCCGCUGUUCUUACCUCUUUCCCUUUCUGUCUUCUACACCUCUCUCCCCACCUCGUCUUUCUUCCUCGUUUUAUAAUGCACACCACAUGUGCAUUGAAGUACAGAUUGAACUUCUAUUUAUAAUAUUACAAUUAUCAUAAUUAUAAUGCAUUUAUAUAUUUAUAACACCUGGAUAAUGAACAUCUUUCCAUAAAGCAUUCUCCACUGGUUGAAAUUAAGUAUCUCAUUGAAAUACUAUCCUGUGUCCUCAGAUUAAUGCAGAUGAAGGGAGUUAGAUAUGCAUCGUUUUUUUCCCUGUAUAUAUGAAUUACAUAUCAAUCAUGUUUCUAGUCUAUUGCAUGGUUACAAUGUGUAAUCAUUGAUGUCCCAGGAGCAGGAGUGGUAAACACUGUUGAAGUGUAUAAUUGUAAUACAUACAUGCAGACACAGCAUCAUUCAAAUAAUGGAGUUUGAUAUGACUGAAAAAUAAUGCCUCAGAGGUUCAUACCUGAACCACACCUUUAUUUGCCAAGGAAGAGUACAUGAUCAUUGAAUAUAUUCAAUGUACAGGCUACAAUGUGGGAAUCUCAUGCGUUGUAAUAACUGAAGUACACAUGUAUAUAGGACUUGGCACAAUAAAGUUAUUAUAUUCUACUCUA